UCGAUUAUAUGGAAACCCUCUAAUUUGCAAUUGUCCAUUAGUCGACAUUGUUCUCUUGGUGAAAAGAAGACGAUUACAGUGAGUUUUCCGUCCUUCCUGUCACAACCCUGUGACUCUAAGAAAAACAUUGCUGAUGGACCUGAAACUUCAAGAAGUAAUUUGUGAUUCAGAUUCCACCACUGGUUCUACCGGCGUGGAAACAACAGUUCCUAAUUCCAUCCCAGUUUCCACUGAUGCAGAAACUGGCUUUACAACAAUAACCGGAUUUGGCAAGUAUUCAACAUGUACCAAAAAUUUUGAACAAUGUAUAAAACACUGAUUUGUAAAGUAGCAAUUUACAGUAUACGUCAAAGACACUUGAUGCAUGAAUUAUCAGCAAUGAAUGACAUUGUAUCUCUUGCUGCUAAUAUCAUUGAAAACAUCGAUUUGAAAUGGCUUUAACGUUUGAAGAAUUCCAAUCCAUCUGGUAAACUCCUUGUGUAGAGAUUGGAUUAUUGUCCAAUAUAUAAACUGCCCUUGGCAUCAGAAGUAAGUUUGUUAUUUUAUGUUGUUAUUUACAAAUAUUAUGAAAUAUCCUAUAAAUGCAUAUACAUGCGCAUAUAUAUAUGUACAGAUACAUCUCUAAUGUUAACAAUUUACCUAAAUACAACUGUGUGCCGUGAGUAGAAUCUAAUUUAAUGCGAUUUCGAAUUUGACUUUUAGACAAUACAGACAUCUGACAUCUAUCUACAUAUUCAGACCUGUCGUGUUUGAUGCGUUGCUAAUUAAGGUGUUAUCAGUAGAACGUGGAAACAGUGAUAUCAUUCUCAUUCAGCUGACAAUGCGAGUCAAAUGAAUCUUUGCGUGAUCCUGAUAAAUUGUAAAGUUGUGAUUUUGACCUGAGGUAAACUUGCACAACAAUUUAAUAUUAGUUAUUGUUUCAAAAGUGUCAUGCAUGUAUCUUCAUUUGAUAAGGAAAAAUGAUGAUACCUUUAUACAUUUCAAAUGAAUUUCCGUAAUGUAACAUAUAUUGCAAAACAGCAAAACACUUUUUUUUUCAUUCAUGUAUUGAAAUACAUCAAACGAACACACAAUGAAAAGUGAUGAAUUAGAACAGCUCACAAAUCAAUACAACCACGGAGGAUUCAUCGAUGCACUGCUACCUAGAGAUCGUGAGAGACGUGUAUCCCUGUCCUUAUCCCUGGUGGGCAUUUAUAUCCAUAUAUUCAACUCUGGUGUGUAUUUAUAUUCCAUUUGUCAAUCCUGGUGAGUACAACUAUUUCUUUCUCUAUAGAAUAAGCUACUAUAGAACUAAACUACACCACUAUGUAUAAGUUACACGUUUACCUUUUGCUUGGUAUCUACAAGAUUUAAUUUUACUCGGUAUGUGUAUGCCAUACAUUUACUUUGUAUAGAUCGACAUGGUAUGUGUUUACUUGGUAAGUACAGGGUAUAAGUGUUCUUGGUAUGUAUAAGUCAUGUGUUUACAUCGUAUACACAAGUUACACGGUUACGUUUUUCUUGGUAUCUACAAUGCUUAAUUUUACUCGGUAUGUAUAUACAUGUAUCAUACAUUUACUGUGUAUCUACAUGGCAUGUGUUUACUUGGUAAGUACAAGGUAUAAGCGUUCUCGGUAUGAAUAAGUCAUGUGUUUACAUCGUAUACACAAGUUACACGUUUACCUUUUGCUUGGUAUCUACAAUGUUUAAUUUUACUCGGUAUGUAUAUACAUGUAUCAUACAUUUACUGUGUAUCUACAUGGUAUGUGUUUACUUGGUAAGUACAGGGUAUAAGUGUUCUUGGUAUGUAUAAGUCAUGUGUUUACACCGUAUACACAAGUUACACGUUUAACUUUUGCUUGGUAUCUACAAUGUUUAAUUUUACUCGGUAUGUAUAUACAUGUAUCAUACAUUUACUGUGUAUCUACAUGGUAUGUGUUUACUUGGUAAGUACAAGGUAUAAGUGUUCUUGGUAUGUAUAAGUCGUGUUUACACCGUAUACACAAGUUAUUCGUUCACUCACUAUGCGCGUAUUUUGUACAUCUAGGGAGAUGAGGGAUGGAAUAAAGAAUUGCAUUGCUUGCAUGUUUAUUGUACUUAGUGCAAUGACGGCACUAAUCACAUACAUGGGAUAUCGUAAGUUUUCAAUAUUUAUUUUAUUAUUUAUUUCUAUUAUCGUAUUUGAACAUUUCAGGAGAUCAGAAUAGUAGAUAUGUAAAUUACUGUGGUUCAACAAUGGCGCGAUCUGCUGUGAGAUUUUGUUUUUGGAGCGGGUCAGAUACUGACGGGCAGAUUUUCAGACAACCACAUAGUCCCUUGGGGAUCCGGGUUAGAAUAGGUCCUCAGUACCCCCUUGCUUGUCGUAAGAGAGGACUAAAUCUGGCAGUCCUUUGGAUGAGACCGUAAAAACCGAGGCCCCGUGUCACAGCAGCUGUGACACGAUAAAGAUCCCUCCCUGCUCAAUGGUCAUAAGCGCCGAGGAUAGGCCUAAAUUUUACAGCCCUUCACCGGCAGUGGGGACGUCUCCAUAUGAGUGAAAUAUUCUGGAGAGGGACGUUAAACAAUAUUCAACCAAUCAUAUUAUUUUUCUGUUGAAUUGAAUUUUGUCAUUUUCUGUAGAUACAAAUUUCUCACAAUGCCUCUUUGUCAUUAUGGAGCUUUUACAUUUUACCGAAAUAUCGUUGAAAUUUUUAUUUCAGAUUAAAAUUCAGACACACAGAUGGGUUUCAAACAUUCCAUUCUUCAUAGAAAUCAAAGCUGUAUCCACUAAGCCGCUGGCGUUGAUGACAUUUGUUGAAAAAAUAAACAGAUGUUCUAUAUGCAAAACGUAACCUGUUUGGCAUAUAUGGAACCAUUUCCCCUGACAUUUAAAUUCUGCCCGGGAAUAUUUCAAGAACAAUAUGUUGAGGAGUGUUUACAAAUGAUGAAUGCUGGAUAGUACGAGAUAAGCAUUAUAUCACCAGUAAGAGAAGGAGCAAUAUCGGCAUUUGAUGACUUGCACCCUGCCCACCGGACAUGCCACUACUGCCACUCCAGUUCACUCGGUUAUACAUUGAAUUAGUAUUGGCUUCGGCUGGAGGGAGAGGUCAGCCUGUGAUGGACUGGUGUCUCAUUCUGCGGGAAUUUGUUGCUCUUAUCCGUUAACCACUUAACAUUCCGACGAACGACCAUAUAGAGACGUCACCAAUGCCGGUGAAGGGCGGCAAAAUUUAGGCCUAUGCUUGGAGUUUACAUCUUUUGAGCAGGGGGUCUUGAUCCUGACACACCUGCUGUGACGUAGGGCAUCGGGUUUUGUUGUCUUAUCCGAAGGACCGCCCCAUUUAGUCGCCUCUUACGACAAGCAGGAAUACUGAGGACCUAUUCUAACCCGGAUCACGGAGGUGCAUCGGCCAUAAUCAGAUCCACAAAAAUUCCACAGGAAACCAACCAACAGGACGGACACAGAAUUGUGUACACUCGAUUUAAGAUGUAGAUAUUAAACUUAAUUUCUAUCAAUAUGUUGAGGAGUGUAUACAUGUGAUAACUAUGUGACGAUACACAAUGUACUGUCUGUAAUCGUAAAUAAACGAUAACAUACGUGUUGUAAUAAUCUGUCGUCAACUGGCUAGAAAAUUACGUUUUGUUUGAAUAAAAUAUUUUAUUUAGGCAUGG